UACGAAGGGGGCUAGCGUUGCUCGGAAUCACUGGGCGUAAAGCGCGUUCAGGCGGUUUGGCAAGUCGGGCAUGAAAUCUCUCGGCUCAACCGGGAGAGGUUGUCCGAUACUGCUGGACUUGAGGGCAGUAGAGGGUGGUGGAAUUCCGGGUGUAGUGGUGAAAUGCGUAGAUAUCCGGAGGAACACCAGUGGCGAAAGCGGCCACCUGGACUGCACCUGACGCUGACACGCGAAAGCUAGGGGAGCGAACGGG
rnacentral:rRNA from 1 species